rnacentral:rRNA from 1 species
AGAGUUUGAUCCUGGCUCAGGAUGAACGCUAGCGACAGGCUUAACACAUGCAAGUCGAGGGGCAGCACAGGUAGCAAUACCGGGUGGCGACCGGCGCACGGGUGAGUAACGCGUAUGCAACUUACCUAUCAGAGGGGGAUAACCCGGCGAAAGUCGGACUAAUACCGCAUGAAGCAGGGGCCCCGCAUGGGGAUAUUUGCUAAAGAUUCAUCGCUGAUAGAUAGGCAUGCGUUCCAUUAGGCAGUUGGCGGGGUAACGGCCCACCAAACCGACGAUGGAUAGGGGUUCUGAGAGGAAGGUCCCCCACAUUGGUACUGAGACACGGACCAAACUCCUACGGGAGGCAGCAGUGAGGAAUAUUGGUCAAUGGGCGUAAGCCUGAACCAGCCAAGUCGCGUGAGGGAUGAAGGUUCUAUGGAUCGUAAACCUCUUUUAUAAGGGAAUAAAGUGCGGGACGUGUCCUGUUUUGUAUGUACCUUAUGAAUAAGGAUCGGCUAACUCCGUGCCAGCAGCCGCGGUAAUACGGAGGAUCCGAGCGUUAUCCGGAUUUAUUGGGUUUAAAGGGUGCGUAGGCGGCCUUUUAAGUCAGCGGUGAAAGUCUGUGGCUCAACCAUAGAAUUGCCGUUGAAACUGGGGGGCUUGAGUAUGUUUGAGGCAGGCGGAAUGCGUGGUGUAGCGGUGAAAUGCUUAGAUAUCACGCAGAACCCCGAUUGCGAAGGCAGCCUGCCAAGCCAUGACUGACGCUGAUGCACGAAAGCGUGGGGAUCAAACAGGAUUAGAUACCCUGGUAGUCCACGCAGUAAACGAUGAUCACUAGCUGUUUGCGAUACAGUGUAAGCGGCACAGCGAAAGCGUUAAGUGAUCCACCUGGGGAGUACGCCGGCAACGGUGAAACUCAAAGGAAUUGACGGGGGCCCGCACAAGCGGAGGAACAUGUGGUUUAAUUCGAUGAUACGCGAGGAACCUUACCCGGGCUUAAAUUGCAGAUGAAUUACGGUGAAAGCCGUAAGCCGCAAGGCAUCUGUGAAGGUGCUGCAUGGUUGUCGUCAGCUCGUGCCGUGAGGUGUCGGCUUAAGUGCCAUAACGAGCGCAACCCUUGCCACUAGUUACUAACAGGUGAUGCUGAGGACUCUGGUGGGACUGCCAGCGUAAGCUGCGAGGAAGGCGGGGAUGACGUCAAAUCAGCACGGCCCUUACAUCCGGGGCGACACACGUGUUACAAUGGCGUGGACAAAGGGAUGCCACCUGGCGACAGGGAGCGAAUCCCCAAACCACGUCUCAGUUCGGAUCGGAGUCUGCAACCCGACUCCGUGAAGCUGGAUUCGCUAGUAAUCGCGCAUCAGCCAUGGCGCGGUGAAUACGUUCCCGGGCCUUGUACACACCGCCCGUCAAGCCAUGGGAGCCGGGGGUACCUGAAGUGCGUAACCGCGAGGAGCGCCCUAGGGUAAAACUGGUGACUGGGGCUAAGUCGUAACAAGGUAGCCGUACCGGAAGGUGCGGCUG